rnacentral:rRNA from 1 species
GACGACCGCUGGCGGCGUGCCUAAUACAUGCAAGUAGGACGCAGUUGCGAACGGGUGCGUAACGCGUAGGUAACUACCUAUUAGAGGGGGAUAACUAUUGGAAACGAUAGCUAAUACUGCAUACUAGUAGAUGGACCUGCGUUGUAUUAGCUAGUAGGUAGGGUAAUGGCCUACCUAGGCAACGAUACAUAGCCUACUUCGUAGGGUGAUCGGGCCAACUGGGACUGAGACACGGCCCAUACUCCGACGUGAGGCAGCAGUAGUGAAUCUUCGGCAAUGGGGGGAACCCUGACCGAGCAACGCGGUGUGAGUGAAGAAGUGUUUCGGAUAGUAAAGCUCUGGUGGUAAGGUAGCGGUACUCAACCAGAAAUGGACGGCUAACUACGUGCCAGCCGCCGCGGUAAUUC